AGGAUGAACGCUAGCGGCAGGCCUAAUACAUGCAAGCUGAACGGUAAAUAUUAUAGCAAUAUAGUAUGAGAGUAGCGUAAGGGUGCGUAACACGUAUGCAAUCUGCCCUGUACAGGAGAAUAGCUCGGCGAAAGCCGGAUUAAUGCUCCGUAAUAUUGAGUUAUGGCAUCAUGAUUCAAUUAAAGUUGACAAGAUGGUACAGGAUGAGCAUGACGUCUGAUUAGCUAGUUGGUAGUAGUAACGGACUACCGAAGGCGAUGAUCGAGGUAGGGAACUGGAGUAGGUUCGACUCCCCACACGUGGCACUGAGAGUACGGGCCAGACU
rnacentral:rRNA from 1 species